AAUGCUCGGGUUGAUCAAUCAACCCGAGCAUUUGAUAUCAAAUGCUCCGGUGGUUUAGUCAACCCGAGCAUUUGGACCCUCUCUAUAUCUAAACCUAUUAAAGAAUGGGAAGUUUUGUUACUGUAAACUUGCAACAAUUACUUGGCGUAUUAUCUCCUCUUCUAUCUGUCCCUCCUCUUCCUUUCUCUCUCCUCACUCCCACCAUAACCCACCGUCACUCCCUCACCUCACUGGUCAUCCACCAUCACCAAGCAGGUAAAAACCUCCAUUUAAAAAAAAAAUCCCCCUUAUCUUCCCCAAUUUCUCUCUCCUAGGGUUUACUUUCACUUCAACUACCCUAAUUUUCGCUCAUCAACCUUAAUUCUUCAUAAAUUACUCCCGAAUUUCUCCUGCAAUUCUUCAUCACAAGCACUCAUCAAUGGCGAUUUUUUCCCGGCCGAAUAUUCUCUCCGUUCACCGCCGACUGUCAGAAGAGCGAUUAUCUUCUUCAAGUUUCUCUCUCCUUCGCAUUUCCGGCGCAUAGGAAAACUCGAUGGCAAGGUUUCAUGAAUUGAUUCCUAUAAACUUGUAUGAUUUGCGUGAAGAAAUUAAGAGUGCUUGUGAGUACCGACCUUUUGAGAAGUGCGAUUACAGUGCUAGAUUAUCGAGCGAGAUUUCUUGCAAGAAGCUGGAGUACGUUAUUUCUCAGCUCGAUAAGAUGAAGGAGACGAUUGAUCAAUAUCAGGAAUCUGCAUGACAUGGAUCAAAAUGUAAGCUUCUCUAUAUUUUUUGUCCACUAUGUCAGCUUUCCUGGCUAUUUUGAUUUGGACGUUGGAUGAUGUACUUGUGUUAGGUGAUGUCAUAUGGGAUUUGAUUUUCUUUGCUGGUGUGAAUGCUGUAGCGGUCCUCUACUGCAUAAGUGUACUUCAUUGAUUUGUCAUUUUAAUGGGGGCAGUUGAUGUAGGAUGACUUUGUGCAGUUGAAGUGGGCCGUGGGCAUAUAAUAACACCUGAAUUCUCCAAUUUGCGAAUUUUUUUUGCUUAAUUUUGUUUUUCAGUGCCCUCUUUAGAAAGACAUUGCUGUUUCAGAUUCCUUUUUGUUUUCCGUUUCAGUUUCAUUUUUUAGAUGGGCUAGAUGUCUCAGUGAGCUCGUGAAAUACGCUUCUGAGCUUUGCCCAAGAUUUGUUCAGGAAGCAAAGUGAGCAACCUUGUUUUUCGACUGGCUAAUCUGGGAUACUCGAUCUUAACUAAUGGCUUCUGGAUGAUAUACCAUUUUAACUAGAUUACAAAUAAUUAGACGUUUAUAUUAUUGUUCAUGUCAAUAUUACUUCCUCUGUUCCAGAUUAGUUUGAACCUUUUUUAUUUAUCUGAAAAUAGUUUGAGCACUUCUAUUUUAGGAAUGUAUGGUCCCACUAGUUUUUCAAUUUUUCUCACCUGCCCUUUUUCCCUCACCACACUUUCUCGUUGGAAUAAAAAAAUACCCCACUUUAUCUUAUAACAUCGAACUUUUUAAGAAAAGCAAUUCAUAACCACUCAACAACUCAUCUCCUAAAAAUUUGUCAUUUUGACGGGGGAUUACUAUUUAAAGUAAUCUGGCUGUACUUGAUAAGCUUCUAUGUAUGUGCUCAUAUGUCAGUUCUUUUCUCAAUUGUAAUGCAUAAUUUUAAUUUCUGCGAAUGGUUAUCUUAAUGCUUGAACACAAAUGUAGUACUUAAAAUGAGAGUGAUAUGCUAUGACAGGUCUGAGGUUAUUCGCUGUCUUGCAUAUAUCACACCUAUUGAGUUAGGUGGCAGGGCUAAUCAGUCACAAGAUGGAGAUAACAAGUUGGAUCAAUGGCUCAUGCAAUGUUUGCUUGUUCAUGUCCUCCUGACGCCAGGGAGGCUGCUUGUUUUGGGGCAACAAAAGAGCUUUUCAGACUUAUUUUUCCGUCACUUAAAUCUGGAUCUGAAUCUCAAGUGGAUCAUGUUUUUUCUUUUAUGUGGGCGAGGAGAUAUAGUUGAAGUUUUGUUCAUAACUGAUUGAACUCCUGCUCGAACUUGAAGUUCGAAUCUGCUAAGACAUCUACAUGUCGACAGCCGUGUCGGUGAUGCUGCGCUUGGCUGGUUGCUAGUUUUAUUAUCAAAGAUUUGUCGAACUCAUAUCUUGUAGUUUACAAUUGUAAUUUUUUUGUAUUUAUAAACAAUCAGAAAGUGAACUAUUAUCUAUAUGUAUUGGUUGUGCAUUAAUACUGAACAAAAAAAAAAGCAAAAAAAUUUUUUUUUUUUUAAUUAUUUUUGGGCCCUUAAAUGCUCCGGUUUUACCAGUAAACCGGAGCAUUUGUGAAUACAAAUGCUUCGGUUUACUGGUAAAACCGGAGCAUUUAAGGCCCCAAAUGCUCCGAUUGUUUUGAAAAACCGGAACAUUUGUGACACAAAUGCUCCAGUUACAAACCGGAGCAUUUAUAAAUGUCUCAAAUGCUCGUGUGACUUAUGCUCCGCGCCAAAAACGGAGCAUUUGGGGCCUAAAAGACCGGAGCAUUUGAGGUUUUUUCUACUAGUGCUUCUUUAGCCUUCUCCAAUUUGGCUUGAAUCUUAGGGUAAAUCUGUGAUGUCCUCUUCUUCAUGUCUUUUUUUUUUUAGGACAACCUCUGCAUA